GGACGUAGGGCGCGAGCGUUGUCCGGAUUUAUUGGGCGUAAAGAGCUUGUAGGCGGUUUGUCGCGUCUGCUGUGAAAAUCCGGGGCUCAACUCCGGACUUGCAGUGGGUACGGGCAGGCUAGAGUGUGGUAGGGGAGACUGGAAUUCCUGGUGUAGCGGUGGAAUGCGCAGAUAUCAGGAGGAACACCGAGUGGCGAAGGCAGGUCUCUGGGCCACUACUGACGCUGGAGAAGCGGAAAGACCAUGGGGAGCGAACAGG
rnacentral:rRNA from 1 species